rnacentral:rRNA from 1 species
CCAGAUUGAAGUCGAAGGAUUAGGUAGUUGCUUGAAUUACUGGAGACUGGCGGACGGGUGAGUAACGCGUAGACAACCUGCCUUUAGCUGGGGGAUAACCCUGCGAAAGUGGGGCUAAUACCGCAUGAUGCAGCGGGGCCGCAUGGCCACAGUUGUUAAAGGUUGAGGCCGGCUAAAGAUGGGUCUGCGUGCUAUUAGCUAGUUGGUGCGGUAACGGCGCACCAAGGCGAUGAUAGCUAGGGGGUCUGAGAGGACGAUCCCCCACACUGGGACUGAGACACGGCCCAGACUCCUACGGGAGGCAGCAGUGAGGGAUAUUGCGCAAUGGGCGAAAGCCUGACGCAGCCACGCCGCGUGCCGGAAGACGGUCCUAUGGAUUGUAAACGGCUUUUGUCAGGGAAGAAAGGGAGGGUUUCGACCUUUUUUGACGGUACCUGAUGAAUAAGCACCGGCUAACUCCGUGCCAGCAGCCGCGGUAAUACGGAGGGUGCAAGCGUUGUCCGGAAUCAUUGGGUGUAAAGGGUGCGUAGGCGGGCGUCUAAGUCUGGGGUGAAAUCUUGCCGCUUAACGGUAAAAUGGCCUUGGAUACUGGAUGUCUUGAGUGCAGAAGAGGCAGGUGGAACUCGUAGUGUAGCGGUGAAAUGCAUAGAUAUUACGAAGAACAUCAGUGGCGAAGGCGGCCUGCUGGUCUGCAACUGACGCUGAGGCACGAGAGCGUGGGGAGCGAACAGGAUUAGAUACCCUGGUAGUCCACGCCGUAAACGAUGCAUACUAGGUGUUGGCUUUUCGGAGCCAGUGCUGCAGUUAACGCAUUAAGUAUGCCACCUGGGGAGUACGUCGGCAACGAUG